rnacentral:lncRNA from 1 species
CAGACAUAUUUAGAGUAAAUCUUUGUGUAAUAAUUUUUUAUACUCAAGUAAUGAUAUUUUGUUGUAACAUAUCAUGGUGCUUAUAUAUUUAUAUCUGGUCACUUAUUUUUUUGUUAUUAUGAGUUUGUUUUACAUAUCUUGAAAUAGAAGACCUCCAAAGACCUCCAAACACCUCCAAACACCUCCAAACUGAUGUUGCUAGUUUUUUUUAUAUCAAUGAUAAGUAAUUAGAAGACAACUCAUAUAUACCAUAAACUGUUAAACUCACAAGAAUGUAUGAUGUCUGAUUUGUUCAUUUCUUUUUGUGUAAAGGAUUAUAAAAUUGGUUGUGAAUUAAAGAGGAACAUAUAUGUAUACUCUCUAACUAAGAAGAUACAUAUAGUCUAGAAAUAAAUGGGCACAUUAUUAUAUUGGGAGCAAUUAUAUUUUACUAUUACAGAACAAACUGUUGAACAGUGAUUUUUACAUGGUGUAUAUAUCUCAGUUUUGACCAUUCCAAAGGUUUUACACUUACUGUUAUGAAGAAAAAAAAUGGCAAAGUUUAUCUUGUCACUGUAUUACAGCUAAUUUCUUAAUGCUUGUAGAGUUAAACUUUAGUUGGCUUGCUUGCUUUGUUUGUAUCAAUGUUUAUUCAAGCUAUGUAAUUAAGAUUUAAGCUAACCAAAGUCUUGCUCUACAUGCAGUAGGAAAUUAUCUGUAAUGCUACAUUAUAACUAAACUCAUCAUCCAAGUACAAUAUUGUAAUUAGGAAAUUUUAUCAUCCCAAUUGUGAUAUGGCUGCAUUUGUUAUACCAAUUAAUUGAUCAUUUUAAUGUGAGCUGCAUUGGAUAGAAAUUGACCUUAUGCAAGUGAUGGUAUACAUGUACAUUUAUAAUUGAUUUUGGAAUAUUAGAAUACGAAGUAAAAGAAGAAUUUUGGAUGUUUUAUAAGGUUCUUUUUUAUUACCUCAACUUUAAAACAGUUACAGAAUUUCUGUAUUUUUUUCAAUAUAUGUUAACACAGUGGCAGAUUCAGAAAUUCUUAUAAGGGGGGCACACUGACUAACUCUGGUCAUGCUUCAGUGAUUCCCUAAAUAAUCGACCUAAUUUUUUCCACAGAAGGAAGGGGUGCCUCCUAGGAAAUCCUCUAAAUCUGCCUCUGUAUCAGAUAUUCAUUUUCCUAUACAGCUCAUGUAUCAUUGCAUUUAGGUAUAAAGUUUCAAAUGUCCAUGCAUUAUUGCAUUUAAGGUAAUUAUUGGCAACAUAUGCAUUAAGCUUGUAUAAUAAUUAACAAUUGUAAACAAGAUUAGAUAUGUGUAAAUACUGUUUGUAUAAAUUAUUGUUGUCAUUUAAUAUACUACUAUAUGUAUUGGACUAUCCUAUUUAUUUUACUUGUUUGUAAAAUUCUAAUGCUUGUUGGUAUAAAAAUGUAAACUUGAGGAGUUUUCUGCUUUACUCUAGAAAACAUCUUAAAUUUAAGAUUUUAAAAUUAUUCUUAUCAAUGUGAUCAGACUGGUUUACCUUAAAUUAAUCAACAUUUCAUCUUUCAAAAUAAUUACCUCGAUAUAGGUCCUGUUGCAAUGUUAAUUAUAUAACCUGUAAAGACAUGAUUUUUAACCUCAAAUAGAUAACUUUCGAGUUUGAUAUAUUCCUGUCAAAAACUUUGGCUUUUAGUGAACAUCAUUUGUGUGUUUAGGGGCAUUGUCACUUCUGUGCCCAUGUUGAGUAAGUGGUUCAUUGUACAAUUACUUCGGCAAAUCGAAUUUAGUCAAUAGUCCAUUACAUAUAGUAUACAUAUCUCUGUUGUUACAGUUUGUAAAACUACUUUCAUUUUCCCAUGUGUCAAAUGUUGUUUUACUUUUUGUUGCUGUUGUUAACAUUGUUUUUUUAUGAUCAUCCUUUUUUUUCCUUAACUUGCAAUAUAUGUAAUAUAAGUAUACAUGUCAUGUGAUUGAUCUAUGUCAUGUGAUAUGUGAUUGAUCUAAUGUCAUGUGAUAUGUGAUUUAUCUAAUGGCAUGUGAUAUGUGAUUGAUCUUAUGUCAUGUGAUGUGUGGUUGAUCUUUAUCAUAUGAUAUGUGAUUGAUCUAUGUCAUGUGAUAUGUGAUUGAUCUAAUGUCAUGUGUUAUGUGAUUGAUCUGAUGUCAUGUGAUGUGUGAUUGAUCUAUGUCAUGUGAUAUGUGAGUGAUCUAUGUCAUGUGAUAUGGUUUGAUCUGUAUCAUGUGAUAUGUGAUUGAUCUAAUGUCAUGUGAUAUGUGAUUGAUCUGUGUCAUUUGAUAUGUGGUUGAUCUACAUCACAUGAUAUGUGAUUGAUCUACAUCAUGUGAUAUGUGAUUGAUCUAAAUGUCAUGUGAUAUUUGAUUGAUCUCUGUCAUGUGGUGUUUUGUUGAUGCUUUUAGCCACGAUUUGUUCUGUUACGAUUAUCAUUCCUGGAUUAUGAUUGUACAUAUGAUAUUUGUAAAUUAUUAUGUUCCUAUAUGUUCAUGAUAAUGCUAAAAAUUGAUUAGUAAAUCCUUAAGUCUUAUUAGUCUAUCAAAUUCACCAAACUUCUUUUCAAAAUUGGAGCCUUGUCAUUGAAAUUGGCUACUUGGUUCUCUCUUUUAUUGAUAUCACUUUUAACAGGACUCGUGCAUAUUCCCAAUUUCCCAGGAUUUGUGAUAUUCAAUAUUAUUUUAUUUGAAAAUGUUAUUAAGUACGGUAUACCAAUUACUACUAGAAUAUAUCAGAGUUCUUGAAUAAGGCAUAUAUCAGCCCUUGGGCUGCUUAGUUCAGGGUUACAUUUGUAAAAUUCAGCAUAUUUUCAUUUAGUAUGUGAUAAAAACUCUAUAAAUAGAUAGAAAUUAAUGUUUCAACUAAUACAAUUAUGUGCAAUAUUGAAUAUUUUAACUUGAAUAUUUGAGAGGUGUUUGACCAAUCAAAUGUUUCUUCAUUUUUAUCAAAUCAAGUAUGAAAACAAAAAACUGACCAUUUUCAUUUUCUAUAAAUCAUGCAUCAUAGAACGUUUUAUAGAAUAUAAGAAUAUUUAUUGCUAAAUGUAAUCUAGCUUGAAUUAUACGUAUUUUAGCCAAUACAAUAAUAGCAAGAAAGAUUAUAACCCAGUUACACAGAAGCUUUUGUACACAUGCUAUUACACAUUUUGGUAUAAGAAUGUUUAACUUCAUUAUGUAUCCUUUAUUUACAACAGAAAUUCAAAUUCUUAUUCUUCUGUAAAAGUAGACGAAAUAAAUUACAAAAUAGUACUUUACUUUUCCUUGUUGUCGAAUAUAAAGAAAACUAUAUGUAUAUAUAUAUAUAUAUAUAUAAAACUCGUCUAUAAACAUCAACCCAACAAUGUUAGAUCUGUAAAUAUAUAUAUACAGGAGCUUGCAUCUAAAGACAUCUUUAAAACUAACUUUGAUACACUGGUAAAUGGCUGAUAACAUCCUAACAAAUAAAUUUUAAAAAUUUGUUACCACUACAAGUUCAAAUAUUAUGUUAGGUUUACACCAAUAAAAUGUGUUUGUUUGUAAAAGAUUGUCGCCCCUGUCAUGGCGGCGCCCAUGAAAAUUUCAAGCUGAAAGAAAUAAAAUGUGUUUGUUGUACUUACGCCUUUUUGUCAAGGUUUUUCAAAGGUACUAUCACAUUGUGAUGCCAUGCAAAUCCCUACCCUUACAGUAAAUGGUUAUUUGACAUUCCACUUUGCGUACCAUGUAUUUGUAUAUUACUAUAAUUUGCUAUUACAUAUCAGAUGUUUAACUAUUGCCUUUGUGCUUACAUCAAGCUGAUGAGUUCAAAAACUGCAAUUUUUUAUCAUAGAACAAUUAAAAUUUUGUCAUUCAUUUGAAGUAAUAUUAGCAGUACCAUAUUUACUGCAGUAAAUGUUUAUUUUGAGCCUAAUUUCAUACUCUUUUGAUAUCUAGAUAUUAAAAUUUCAUUCAAAACCUGCAGUAGAAACUUAUUUCACUAUUUUCAUCUCAACUGUAAAUUGUUAUUUUGCUCUAUUUAUGAAACAUAUGUGAAUUUUCAUUUCAAUUUUGCAAUAAAAUAUUAUACUUA